UUGCUACUCCCUCCGUCCCAAAAUUCUUGUCUUAGAUUUGUCUAAAUACGAAUGUAUCAAGUCACAUUUUAGUAUUGGAUACAUCCGUAUCUGGACUAAUCUAUUGACAAGAAUUUUGAGACCGAGGGAGUACUAG
rfam:Triticum aestivum genome assembly, contig: Triticum_aestivum_CS42_TGACv1_scaffold_641801_T_1BL-0.310552_1DL-0.175050